UACGUAGGGUCCGAGCGUUGUCCGGAGUUACUGGGCGUAAAGCGCGCGCAGGCGGCGGUGUUGGCCCGGCGUGAAAGCCCCCGGCUCAACCGGGGAGAGUCGUCGGGGACCGCACCGCUUGAGGGCGGUAGGGGCUGGUGGAAUGCCUGGUGUAGUGGUGAAAUGCGUAGAGAUCAGGCAGAACACCUGGGGCGAAGGCGGCCAGCUGGGCCGUCCCUGACGCUGAGGCGCGAAAGCGUGGGGAGCGAACAGG
rnacentral:rRNA from 1 species